AUGAGUCAAGCCUACUUACAUCUUUUUGUCUUUGGCUGCACAUUUCCUAUCACAUCGCACUCCAGCGAUGCCAAGCUGUGCCGGCCUUCCACUCCAUCUCCAUUAUUUCACCCUCCGCCGCCGCCGCGGCUUUUUGCCCCCCCGCCGCCGCGGCUUAUUCCCCCCAUCCCGCCUAGGCUUUUUGCCCGCCGUGGCUUCCCCGCCCCCCGCCGCGGCUUUUUGCCCGCCGCGCCUUUUUGUCCCCGCCGCCGCGACUUUUUGCCCGCAGCGGCUUUCUGCCCCUCUGCCGCCGCGGCUUUUUGCCCCCACCUUGCCUCGGCUUUCUGCCCGCCGCGGCUUUCUGCCCCCACCCGUCGCUGCGGCUUUUUGCGCCCCCGCCGCGGUGGCUUUUUGCCCCACCGCCGCCGCGGCUUUUUGCCCGCCGCGGCUUUGUGCCCCCCCGGCGCCAGGGCUUUUAGUCCGCCCCGGCUUUUUGACCCCUCGCCGUUGCGAAUUUUGUCGCCGCGGCUUUUUGCCUGCCCCCCGCCGCUGCGGCUUUUUGCCCCCCGCCGCCUUUUGCACCCCGCCGCUUUUUGCCCCCUCGCCGCCGCGGCUUUUUCCCGCCGUGGAUUUUUCCCCCCUGCCCCCGCGACUUUUCACCCGCCGCGGCUUUUUGCCCCCACCCCGCCUCGGCUUUUUGCCCGCCGCGGCUUUUUAGCCCCCACCGCCGCGGCUUUUUGUCCCCUGCCGCCGCGACUUUUUGCCCCCACCCCGCCUCGGCUUUUUGCCCGCCGCGGCUUUUUAGCCCCCGCCGCCGCGGCUUUUUGUCCCCACCCCGCCUCGGCUUGUUGCCCGCCACGGCUUUUUACCCCCCGCCGCCGCAGCUUUUUGCCCGCCGCGGCUUUUUGCCCCCACCCUGCCUCGGCUUUUUGCCCGCCGCGGCUUUUUGCCCCCCGCCGCUUUUCGCACCCCGCCGCCGCGGCUUUUUCGCCGCCGUGGCUUUUCCCCCCUGCCCCCGCGGCCUUUUACCCGCCGCAGCUUUUUGCCCCCCGCCGCCGCGGCUUUUUGCCCCCACCCCGCCUCGGCUUCUUGCCCACCGCGGCUUUAUACCCCGCGCCGCCGCGGCUUUUUGCCCGCCGCGGCUUUCUGCCACACACCCGCCGCCGCGGCUUUUUGCCCCUCUGCCGCCGCGGCUUUUUGCCCCACCGCCGACACAGCUUUUUGCACACUCGCCGCCUUGGCUUUUUGCCGCCGCGGCUUUCUGCCCCCUCGCUGCCGCGGCUUUUUGCCCCUCCGCCACCGCCGCUGCUUUUUGCCCCACCGCCGCCGUGGCUUUUUGCCCGCCGCGGCUUUUUGCCAUCGCGGCUUUUUACUCGCCACGGCCUUUUACCCGCCGCGGCUUUUUGCGCCCCGCUGUCACGGCUUUUUGUCCCCCUGCCACAGCGACUUUUUCGCCGCCGCGGCGUUUUGCCCCCGCCGCCGAGGAUUUUUGUCCCCGCCGCCACGGCUCUGAGGGCGGGAGCGGCAGACUCGGCUGCCAGCUCUACUGGCGUCCUGGCAAGGGCAGCGCUGAGGGGUGCUCCUGGUCCAGCUCUCCUGGCUCAGGGAUUCCUUGCCUAGGCGCCGGCGCCCCAGGCUCCUUGCCUAGGCCCCUGUGGCCUGCAUAGAGUGGCGCUGCCUGUGGAGGCGAUGGGAGAGAAGAAGGAGGGCGGUGGUGGGGGUGAUGCGGCGGCCACGGAGGGUGGCACAGGGGCUGCGGCCAGCCGGGCGCUGCAGCAGUGCGGGCAGCUCCAGAAGCUCAUCGUCAUCUUCAUUGGCAGCCUGUGCGGGCUGUGCACCAAGUGCGCUGUGUCCAACGACCUCACCCAGCAGGAGAUACAGACCCCGGAGAUACAACAGAGAAAUGCAUAAUGUCCAGUCAAUUUAUUAAAGUUCCAAAGUCGGUCGCGCGCAGUGGCUCACGCCUGUAAUCUCAACACUUCGGGAGGCCGAGGCGUGUGGAUCACGAGUAUGUUUCCAGUCUCAAUAGAAAUCGAUGCCAAUCCAGAAAUACAAGCAUUAUUCUAAUACUUCUCACACAUUACUGGUAUGGAUGACAUUUUCUAGAUCUCCUUAAAUACUAUCAUUUUUCACUACUUGUAUCUUAACUGUUAAGUUCAACAUUUUCUGUAAUAUUAAUAUAUUGUGAAAAUUUCCUUUCUUUCUUAUUUGUCCCAGGUUCAAUGUUUUGCAGUCUCUACCUCACCCUGUGAAGCAUAAACAUUGUACAUGCUGUACAAAUAAUACAUCGUUCAUGUACUUAGAGAUUGCACAAUUUUUAUUUGGUUGACAAUAGCUAAUGUUUUCUUCUUCAUUUUCUAUUUCCUGAUUUUUCUUUAUUUAGUAUAUACUACACUGCCAUAAAAAUAAGAACGUUUUACAAACUAAAGCAAAAGGAACCCUAGGAAUAAAAUGCACAAAUAAAAUAUAUAAACAUACGUUUAGAUGUA